CAGGUUUUCAUUUGACCCAGAGUAAGUUCAGGAAAAUUAAGUGCAAUUUCCAUGCCAAAUAUAAGAAAAAAGAAAGAGAAAUCCAAAGUACUCCUAAAGAAACAGAAGAAAACAAGAAUUGACUGAGUACAGUGGCAUUCAGCAUGGAAGGCCAAAAGAUCCUGGGCAAAUUUGCAAAGAAGGUCAAAUGCUUCUGGAAACCUCCUCAUCUUCCCUGCCCUCUUCUCUCACCUCUGCCCCUGGCUUCAGGAAAUUCAGGUGGCCCUUAGAGGCUCUGAUUCAGCUGGGAAUUAGAAUCAAAAGGCUUCCUCGGUGAUUCUGGAAUUUGUCACCAGAAAAAGAAGAAAGUUCAUUGACCAAAGGUAGUCACUGCACACCUGCAACCUGAAACGUCAUGGAAGCUCUUGUACUCCAGCCACCAGGCUGUGGGGCUCGCCCUGAGAGGCCUGGGCCACCAGCUACAACUAUUCCCUUUCUGCCCUGAGCUGUCAGGAUUUCUGCCAAUGAUUCCACUUGUAUGAGCUAUCUAUAAUAAACUCACAGAAGCAU